rnacentral:lncRNA from 1 species
UGCAUUUUCCCUCAUGAGCAACUCUGAGAUUAAUUUUUCUCAAGCAAGCAUGUCUUCUCGCCAGGCAGAGAUUGGCAUAAUUGUUUCCAUCACUUGCACAGAUAUAAUUCACUUUUCGACCAAGGCACUGGGGACAUAUGCAUCUGGUUUGAUUGUCAGGACCUUUAGUGCAUGUUGAAUUGAAGGAACAUGAUUGUUUGUCUUCGCAAGGAU